rnacentral:rRNA from 1 species
CGGCGCAUUGGGACUGAGACACUGCCCAGACUCCUACGGGAGGCUGCAGUAACGAAUAUUGGACAAUGGACGCAAGCCUGAUCCAGCGACGCCGCGUGUAGGAUGAAGUCCUUCGGGAUGUAAACUACUGUCAGGGACCACCACGCAAUACGGGUUAAUACCUCGUAACGCUGAGGAAUCCCAGAGGAAGUCACGGCUAACUUCGUGCCAGCAGCCGCGGUAAGACGAAGGUGGCAAGCGUUGUUCGGAAUCACUGGGCUUAAAGAGCAUGUAGGCGGAUGAUCAAGCGUCUUGUGAAAGCCCUCGGCUCAACCGGGAAUUGCUUGGCGAACUGGUCAUCUUGAGGCAGGUAGGGGCAAGUGGAACUCUUGGUGGAGCGGUGGAAUGCGUAGAUAUCAAGAGGAACGCCAGAGGCCGAAGGCGACUUGCUGGGCCUGUCCUGACGCUGAGAUGCGAAAGCCAGGGGAGCGAACGGGAUUAGAUACCCCGGUAGUCCUGGCCCUAAACGAUGUCCACUAGAUCGGAGAUUCUCUGACGGAUUUCUGGUCGAAAUGAAAACGUUAAGUGGACCGCCUGGGGAGUACGGUCGCAAGGCUAAAACUCAAAGGAAUUGACGGGGGCUCACACAAGCGGUGGAGCAUGUUGCUUAAUUCGAUGCAACGCGAAGAACCUUAUCCUGGACUUGACAUGUUCGGAUGCCUCCCUGGAAACAGGGUUCGGCUGCCCUUCGGGGUGAAACGAUCACAGGUGCUGCAUGGCUGUCGUCAGCUCGUGUCGUGAGAUGUUGGGUUAAGUCCCGUAACGAGCGAAACCCUUGUCGCUAGUUGCCAGCGCGUAAUGGCGGGGACUCUAGCGAGACUGCCGGUGUCAAACCGGAGGAAGGUGGGGAUGACGUCAAGUCCUCAUGGCCUUUAUGUCCAGGGCUGCAAACGUGCUACAAUGGCCGGUACAAAUCGACGCAAGACCGCGAGGUGGAGCAAAUCGCAAAAAGCCGGCCCCAGUUCGGAUUGGAGUCUGCAACUCGACUCCAUGAAGUCGGAAUCGCUAGUAAUCGCGUAUCAGCGUGACGCGGUGAAUGUGUUCCUGAGCAUUGUACACACCGCCCGUCAA